GGCCAGUUAACUGACCAUCUUUAGUGGUUAUAGCCCACUCAUACCGGUCACAACUUGUUCUAAAGGUCAGAACUGUCAAUGAUAAUUCUGAAGUAAUGGUUAAUACUGAGCAUGUACGGAUGAGGCUAUUGCUUCUAAGAAUAGAAAGGUAUAUUAAGAGAGAGUCAGAGUGCAGCAUAAAAAGCCAGCUGCCAGCAGGCAGAUUUGCAGAUGGAGAAAAUCUGGAUUGGAAAGAGAGAGAGAGAUUAGAUCAGGAGAAGACAGGGAACUGGAAGCCAGCAAAGAGAAAGCUGAUGGAAAGAAAUAAGAAAAGCUGUGUCAGAGAGAGAGAGAAGAAAUCAGAGCACAGCAAAGCUGACUAACCAGGAGCUGAAUAGCAACACACAAGCCAUGUGAUCCAUCCCCAGUAUGAAGAUCUUUGUCUUAGCCUUGAUUAUUUCUUCUCUCAACUACUACAACAGCCUCCUCUCUGGCUUCUCAGACAUUUACCCAUUAGAAACAAAGAGAAAAUGGUGUUUCGCUUCAAGGCUCAGAAAACCACUCAGGAAAGGCACAUUCUAAUCUGUAUAAAGCAACAGUGCACUAUUUUUGUGUAUUUGUUGUAUCAUUUAUGCCACACCAAGGUUUACUAUGUAAUGCUAGUUGUUAAAAUACAGGACUGAAAAUCA